UACGGGGGGGGCUAGCGUUACUCGGAAUUACUGGGCGUAAAGGGUGCGUAGGCGGUCAUAUAAGUCAGCGGUGAAAUCCGGCAGCUCAACUGUCGAUGUGCCAUUGAUACUGUAUGACUUGAGUACUGAUGAGGUAGGCGGAAUUGACGGUGUAGCGGUGAAAUGCUUAGAUAUCGUCAAGAACACCGAUAGCGAAGGCAGCUUACUAAGCAGUAACUGACGCUGAGGCACGAAAGUGUGGGGAUCAAACAGG
rnacentral:rRNA from 1 species